rnacentral:rRNA from 1 species
GCGCGUGCUACCUGCAGUCGAACGGUGAAGCCAGCUUGCUGGGUGGAUCAGUGGCGAACGGGUGAGUAACACGUGAGCAACCUGCCCCUGACUCUGGGAUAAGCGCUGGAAACGGCGUCUAAUACUGGAUAUGUGACGUGACCGCAUGGUCUGCGUCUGGAAAGAAUUUCGGUUGGGGAUGGGCUCGCGGCCUAUCAGCUUGUUGGUGAGGUAAUGGCUCACCAAGGCGUCGACGGGUAGCCGGCCUGAGAGGGUGACCGGCCACACUGGGACUGAGACACGGCCCAGACUCCUACGGGAGGCAGCAGUGGGGAAUAUUGCACAAUGGGCGCAAGCCUGAUGCAGCAACGCCGCGUGAGGGACGACGGCCUUCGGGUUGUAAACCUCUUUUAGCAGGGAAGAAGCGAAAGUGACGGUACCUGCAGAAAAAGCGCCGGCUAACUACGUGCCAGCAGCCGCGGUAAUACGUAGGGCGCAAGCGUUAUCCGGAAUUAUUGGGCGUAAAGAGCUCGUAGGCGGUUUGUCGCGUCUGCUGUGAAAUCCGGAGGCUCAACCUCCGGCCUGCAGUGGGUACGGGCAGACUAGAGUGCGGUAGGGGAGAUUGGAAUUCCUGGUGUAGCGGUGGAAUGCGCAGAUAUCAAGAGGAACACCGAUGGCGAAAGCAGAUCUCUGGGCCGUAACUGACGCUGAGGAGCG